rnacentral:rRNA from 1 species
GAGUUUGAUCCUGGCUCAGAUUGAACGCUGGCGGCAUGCCUUACACAUGCAAGUCGAACGGCAGCACGGGAGCUUGCUCCUGGUGGGCGAGUGGCGAACGGGUGAGUAAUGCAUCGGAACGUAUCCUGGAGUGGGGGAUAACGUAGCGAAAGUUACGCUAAUACCGCAUAUUCUGUGAGCAGGAAAGCGGGGGACCUUCGGGCCUCGCGCUCUUGGAGCGGCCGAUGUCGGAUUAGCUAGUUGGUGAGGUAAAGGCUCACCAAGGCGACGAUCCGUAGCAGGUCUGAGAGGAUGAUCUGCCACACUGGAACUGAGACACGGUCCAGACUCCUACGGGAGGCAGCAGUGGGAAUUUUGGACAAUGGGGGCAACCCUGAUCCAGCCAUGCCGCGUGAGUGAAGAAGGCCUCGG